AAAGGGAGACCUAAUUCAGGUAGGAGACGAAAAAAAAGUAGUCCCUACCAAGAAUCAAUCCCAAAAGGUCGGAGCGAGGCAAAAUUGGCUUUCAAACUAGGUUCUGGGUUCAAACAAGACCUGAAUCAGGAACAAGGGCUAUUAGCUCAGGUGGUUAGAGCGCACCCCUGAUAAGGGUGAGGUCCCUGGUUCGAGUCCAGGAUGGCCCACCUGCACAGGUGGCAAAAACAAGAGAAGCGAGGAAUCAGCACCUUAUCUUACUUAUAUAGUAAGAGAGAAUGCUGGCUCUGAGUAAAGAGUCCAGAGGAACCUUGAAAACUGCAUAGAGCUAGGUGAAAAAGCCAAAAAAGAAGACCGCAAG
rnacentral:tRNA from 1 species